UAGGGAAUAUUAGAAAUGGACGAAAGUCUGAUCUAGCAACACCGCGUGUGCGAUGAAGGCCUUCGGGUUGUAAAGCACUUUUUGGUAGGAUUAGGAAGGAAUGUACUUCCAGAAUAAGUCUCGGCUAACUACGUGCCAGCAGCCGCGGUAACACGUAGGAGGCGAACGUUAUCCGGAUUUACUGGGCGUAAAGCGCGUGUAGGUGGUUCUGUAAGUAGGGCGUGAAAGCUCCUGGCUCAACUGGGAGAGGCCGUUCUAAACUGCAGAGCUAGAGGAUGGUAGAGGGAGGUGGAAUUCCGGGCGUAGCGGUGGAAUGCGCAGAUAUCCGGAGGAACACCAGUGGCGAAGGCGGCCUCUUGGACCAUUCCUGACACUCAGACGCGAAAGCUAGGGUAGC
rnacentral:rRNA from 1 species